rnacentral:rRNA from 1 species
UCUGGUGAUAUCCCGCAGUGGACCCACCCGUUCCCAUCCCGAACACGGAAGUGAAACGCUGCAAAGCCGAUGAUAGCCUGACGAAAGGUCAUGCAAAAGUAGGCAGUCGCCAGUU